GAAACCUCCCUCAAGAUUAGAUUUCCCCAUCAGGGCCGUGAGAGACUAUCACGUUGAUAGGCCGGGUGUGUAAGUGCGGUAACGCACGUAGCUAACCGGUACUAAUAGCCCGAUUGGUUUAU
rnacentral:rRNA from 1 species